GAAUUCCCACUUUGGCAGUACAUUUACUACAACUAAAAUGAUACAGAGUUGAGCAUAGUCCCUGGGUAAGGAUGAUAUGCCAAUUCAUAAAGGGUUCUAUAGUUUU
ensembl:snRNA U6 U6 spliceosomal RNA